AUGAUGAUGUGAAGUUGCAAUUUCAGUUUAUUUCUGCAAAUAGAGUUUUAUGGAAACACAGUUGAGCUCACGCACUAAUUCACCGUCUCUGCCGCUUGCUGCAAGGCCAGAGGUGAGCAGUAACAAUGCAAGCUGAAAACAGCCGCUGUCAGGCUCUGGAGAGAAAGCUUUGCCCAUGUGUACCCCAGAGAAAAAGGUCACCAGCUACAGGAGUGGCCUGCGGCGGAAGGAAGCCACCCCCAGCCAGGCAAGUUCAAGCUUCAGACAGAGGGUGACAGAGAAGCAGGCGGCGGGACGCGCUGUCCAGAGCACCCACCCUGACUUCGCAUGGGCAAACUUUGCCGGACAAUGAACCUGCGUCCUCCCAGCCCCUGGUGCAGAGCUGGGCCUGGACAGGAACCCUAGCUCCCCCUUUGGGAGGCUGUGGGAGAGCCACACCUCUAAAUGCACCGGGACAGCAGUGCGGGCCCUGGAGGUUGCUGGGGGUUCCGUCCCGAGCACUGUGGUUACGCAGUCAGUGCACCCCGUGGGGGUGGGGCAUUCGCCCUCUGCAGACCUUUCGGCCGCCAGUUCGCCGCCAGGCUGCACGAGUGGGUGCAACUCCCGCUCUGUCCACUAGAGGGCAGAAAGGCCCUGCCGGCCUCUGGAGGAGUCAGGUGGAGCUGCCGGGGCCUGGGGAGCGAGCCCUCCCUGCUGUUUACAACGUGACCUUUGAUCCGCUCCUGUUGUCUCCACAGCCUGCUGGGGGCCAGACUGUUGCAGUUUCCUGCUGGGGCGGGCCAGGCUCUUUCUAGCCCGCCUAUGGAGGCCGGGUCCUUGCAGGAACGCUCCUGGGCCCCGGGCCCAGGUCCUGGAUGCAGGCAGAGGAAGCGGCACUACACCCUCUAUCGAGGUCUCGAUAAGUUGCUAAAUCGCCCAGGCUGGGCUCAAACUUCCUUCUUGCUCGGCCUCCCUCCGUGCUGGGAUCACAGGGCACCGCUGAGCCAGGUUCUGACAAGACUGCGUGGACAGACUGGGACGGAGAUGCUCUUCCUGUCAGAGCACAAACACAGAUAGGUAGAGUUGUUUCCAGCAGAUGGAAGAUUCCUGUCACACCGCGAAGCUGGAGAGUGUCAAUGCUUGGUAACUGAAGGAGAACAUUUCAAAACGGAGAGAGGAGUGAACGGCAUCAAUCGUGAGUGUCGGGCCAGAGACAGACGAAGAAGCUCCUAGAAUCACGCUGCUCUUAUACCUGGAGUCAGGACGUUCAAUCCCUGUACAUCAGGGAGAGAGCUGCUGGGUCCUUGGGGAGCUCUUCCUGGGGGUUUUCCUUGCCCGUGUAUCCCCCAGGCCCUGCUUAGUUCCUUUCCAGAAACGUCUGGCGUCUUCGGGCAUGCCCAAACGCAUGCCAUACCCCACUCCCCUAACCUCUACCUCAGAUAAACAAGUGUCUCGCAUGUUACAGACCCCAUGGGCAAAAAGUGACUUCAUUCCUCCUUCCUCACCACCCAGCCUUGGGCUGGUUCCCCCUGGUGUCCAGCUCAUCCUCACUGGGGACCCCAGGCCUAGCAGGUGGGUCCUGCAGGGUGUCUGAAGGUGACGUACCCUGUCCCCAACUCGGCCGCCCAGGCUGCCACAGGGCCAGCUCCCUCCUGAGCGGAUUAGCAUGCAGUCUGGAUGGGGCAGCUCUGAGAACGAUGUUGGAGCAGAGCUUACCUAAGCACAGAUAAUGUCCUGGGCGAGUCCCAGCACACUCAGAAUCCACUGCCGGUGCUAAGCCUCUCUUUUGUCCCAAUUGUUGCUAAAACACCUCGCCCAGACUUCCACCAAGUGCCCUCCCUCCUAGACUGAACUCCGUGCUCUGGGUCCCAGCCCUGGUGGAGUACAGCUAAGGGGCACAGCUGGCAGCUUAUGUCCCUCAGACUAAACAUGCAAAGGAGACCGUGCAGGGAGUAAGCUGCCCCCGGUCACACGGAGGUCAGGGUCAGGGCUGGGAUUCACCUUCGACCUCACACGUACCCCCAACUCCUUUGUCCCCUCGCCCCAGACUUCCUGGAGCCCUGAUAGGCGACCUUACCACCAUGGGUCCAGCCUGGCAUGGUGUCCUCCUCAGCUUGGUGCCAGUUCCCGCCCCGGGGUGGAGCCACGGGCUACAGCCACAUCACGUGGAGGAAGGUGGCGCUCAGAAGUGCCAGGGAAGACAGAACGGAAAAGUCCUGUCCCACUCUCCGGGGACCCGGGGCUCAGGAGUGGGGCAGGACCAGUCAUGCCCCUCCCCAGGAGACAGACGGCAGGGACAGCAGGGCACUGCGGGUUGGGGCUCCAGGGCAGGGCUGGUCUUUCCAGGAACUCGUAGGGGUAGUGGAAGGGAGUGAGGAGACCUGAGUCUCUUCCGGAAGUGCUGACUGGUUCUGCCCAGACUCCUGGGGCCUGACGACCUCCUCCUGGGACCCAGAGGGUGUCUGUGGCUGGAUUCCUCCAUGCAAGGCAGUGCAAGCUCAGAAGCACAGAUGUUGCAGCCAGGCAUCUUGCCUGCUGCUUUCUAGCUGUGUGACUCAGGGCAAGUGACAGAACCUCUCUGUGCUGCCUCUCUGUCUGCUCUGCAGCUCGGCUGUUCUCCUUCUCUCGCUGCAGAGUGUUUCUCACCGCAAUGGCUGGCCCUGAAGAGGGGCCUCCAGCACAUCGCUCCCCGCUCCCCACGCGCUCCCCUAGCGGCUUCCUUUUUCGUCCUUCUCCCUGUUGGGAAAGAGAGCUCCCAGGGUCAGGCUUGGGUCGCGGGUGCCCAGAACUCUGCCCAGGGUGCUGAUGAAUGUGCCGUGUUCUCUUCUGGGGCUCUGGCCCGCUGUGGGGGUGCCUGGGCAGGGGGCUUGGCGGGUAUCGCUGCAGUCCCCGGCGUAGGCACUGACAUAUGUGUCCUUCCUCCAGGCCCCAGACUGGCUCCACUGCUAUGGUUUAAACAUAUUCCCCAAAUAUCCACGUAUUGCGGGCUUGAUCCCCAACGCGGCACCGUGGGCCUGGAGCGGUCUGGCUCAGGGGGCACUGGCCUCACUGUGGAUUUAAUCCACUGAGUGGUCAAACCGAAUGGGCUGUCGGGAGGUGUGGCCGCUGUAGGAAGUGAGUCAGUGGGCGUGGCUUGGGAGGCCUCGCCUCCUGCUUCCGGCCUCCUGCUUCCCGUCCCUCUCUGCUUCCCGGCUGUCUUCAGUUGAGCAUCUGUCCUCCGCCAGGCCCUUCCUCGUGUUUCUCCCUGGGAGCGGAAAUCUCUCCUCCUUUACCCUAAGGAUGUCAGGUGGCGCUGGGACGGAUUCAUCUGCCGUCCAUUGCGCUUGACUCCCAGUUUCCGCUCAGCGACUUCCGGAAGUUAGGACCUUCUGCACUAGGCACGCGCUAGUUGCAGGGAACGUGACCUGGGUUAAACACUCGCAGCCCCCACUCCUGUAACGUGGAGUUAUGAGACACACAGGAAACGAAACGAUGAAGAUGAAAUGGGGUGAAUUAAGAUGAAGAGCCGGGCAUGGCACGUGCAACUGUAAUCCCAACACUCUGAGGCUAGAGGAUCGCCAGUUGAAGCCCAGCCUGGGCAACUUUGUG